rnacentral:pre_miRNA from 1 species
UUUGGUGGAAGAUAACAAUGCUCUUGAUGAGCUUCGAGGUAAGGUUCAUCACCCUCGAAUACAUGAACCUUACCUCGAAGCUCAUCAAAAGCAUUGUUAUCUUCC